rnacentral:rRNA from 1 species
UACGUAGGGUGCGAGCGUUGUCCGGAAUUACUGGGCGUAAAGAGCUCGUAGGUGGUUUGUCGCGUUGUCCGUGAAAACUCACAACUCAAUUGUGGGCGUGCGGGCGAUACGGGCAGACUGGAGUACUGCAGGGGAGACUGGAAUUCAUGGUGUAGCGGUGGAAUGCGCAGAUAUCAGGAGGAACACCGGUGGCGAAGGCGGGUCUCUGGGCAGUAACUGACGCUGAGGAGCGAAAGCGUGGGGAGCGAACAGG